ensembl:snRNA U6 U6 spliceosomal RNA
GUGCUCGCUUUGGCAGCACAUAUACUAAAAUUGGAACGAUACGGAGAAGGUUAGCGUGGCUCCUGCACAAGGAUAACAUGCAAAUUCGUGAAGCGCUGCGUAUUUUA